CGUACAAGCCGCUAGAUGUCACCGCCGCCAUUUUGGACGAGGAGAGCAAAAAAGAAUACUAUUUUGUUUCAGGAGUCCUCGAAAACUAUCCACUUUUAAUCAGAAAUCCACCUCACAUCAAGCUUUUUUCAGCCUUUUCUGGACCAUAAAAUGACUGAUUAAGGAUAAUCAAGCACAGCAAUAAUGUAGACCUAAGCACUUGGAGAGGAUGUUACAUCAGAAAUCCACCUCACAUCAAGCUUUUUCCGCCUCUUCCGGACCAUAAAAUGACUGAUUAAGGAUAAUCAAGCACAGCAAUAAUGUAGGCCAAUGCACUUGGAGAGGAUGUUACAUCAGAAAUCCACCUCACAUCAAGCUUUUUUCAGCCUUUUCCGGACCAUAAAAUGACUGAUUAAGGAUAAUCAAGCACAGCAAUAAUGUAGACCUAAGCACUUGGAGAGGAUGUUACAUCAGAUGCACAGUCUGACAUGCCUCUGCUUUUAAUGCGCCCGUAUGACAGACGUACUGGCUUUAAAGCAGCUGUUUCUGUGCGCACUCACUAAAUGGCCUGGUGUUGGAGAUCGGGAAUCUUUGAGUCCUGCAGAGCCGGGAACAUCCAAAAGAGGCCAUUUCAUCUGCAGGAUUGAUUAAGAUGAUGAGGCGUCAGGAGAGAUUUCAACAGCCACAAUCACGGCCCGAGGGUAGAUCAACUGGUGGCCAGAAAAUGUAUUCACAGGAUGUUGUUCCUGCAUCUGCCUCGCUUUGAAGUUGCCCACUCCACAUGAGCCUGUCAUACGUGACCGUAGGUUCAUUAUCCUCAUGCACUUUUAAUGCCUGAGAAAAGGCUGCUACUACUACGUGUUCUACGAAGUCUAUUUUCUACCGUGUUGUCAUGCUUUAGAGAGAAACAGAAAAGGUGGGGGAUGAGAUGAUGCGAGUCGAUCCACUCCUCCGAGGAUUCAAGGUCAUCCUUUUAUGUUUCACCAACCAUCGGCCAGUCACGUUCCAAUCAAAGUGGUGCUUAAUUCAGCAGUAAAUUCCAUCUCCUCAUCAUGU